GCCGCUCUAGGCUGCAGCCGCGCGCCCCGCUGUGUUUCCGCUGGCGCUGAGCGCUGGAGAGUGUCUUGCAGCUGCAACCUGCGUUCUGCCCUUCGGCUCCCCCCGGCCGCGCGGUUACCUCUGAACCCGCCGCCAUCCGUCCUGGCGCCCCGGAUGAGUCACUGAAGAGGCCGCUCCCGAGGCGUGAUCUUUCCAGGAACCCCCAUCGGCCUCCUAAGGCCUGUGCUGUGUACCUCCUCCCUGACAAAAGGGGAAACUGAGGCCCCGAGUGAAGUGGGGAGAGCCGGCCGGACGCCAGGCCCAGCCCCUGGUGCAGUGUUCCGUCCCCCGCGCCGGGUGGGCUCCUCGGGAUUCGCGUGGCCUCGGGAAAGAGACUGGCGGGCCUCGUGGGCUGUGCGGCUCUCCCGGAGGCAGAUGACAGCUCUCCCUUGGAUGGCUUUGCUGGUCCCCCACCAGCUGCACCAGCCAGCGACCCCGUCUUCCCUGCAGCACCCUGAUCUGCACGCCCUGAGGGGCUCUGUCCGCGGGAUGAGGAUGUCCCUGGCUUGAGGAAAGAUGACAGAACACUGGAGACAAAGAACUUGUAGCUUCCUGCUCUGUGGCCUCUCUUCACUCUAGGGAUGUCACCUUGGGCUGGAGACUGUUGGAGGAAACCCCAAGAGGUGCAGGCACUGAGCCUCUCAGGACAGUGACCUGCGGACCCAGCUCCCUGGAGGGACCUCCUCAUGAUUGUUUGGGGUUGAUAGCAGACACUGGCAUAGCCAAGAGUGAUGAGUGAUGUCACCCCGUGAUGCACGGCCAGACCUUCUGGCCCUUGUUGCCUCCAGCACAACAUGGAUCGACUUUUCCCUCAGUGUGAGUGGGCAGAGGAAAAGCCCUGUGGCUCUGGGGACUUGGGGUCCAGAGUUGAAGCCUCUUCAGCUGGCUCUGCUCUGCCAGUGCCAUAGAGACCCAUGGCCCAGGAAGACUGGUUUUCUUCCAUCCAGGCCAGGCCAUCCAGUGGCCAUCCUCCGUGUCCUCCCACCUCCACCUGGUGUAACUUCUGAAAACCAAGAAUUUGGUCCUGUUGACUUGUUCUGUGCUUUGGACCGUUGUCCUCUCACCCACUUAAUAAAUCUUGAAACAUGCCCUGCUA